GACGAACGCUGGCGGCGUGCUUAACACAUGCAAGUCGAACGGAAAGGCCCUGCUUUUGUGGGGUUCUCGAGUGGCGAACGGGUGAGUAACACGUGAGUAACCUGCCCUUGACUUUGGGAUAACUUCAGGAAACUGGGGCUACUACCGUAUAGGAGCUCCUGCUGCAUGGUGGGGGUUGGAAAUUUUCGGCGGUUGGGGAUGGACUCGCGGCUUAUCAGCUUGUUGGUGGGGUAGUGGCUUACCAAGGCUUUGACGGGUAGCCGGCCUGAGAGGGUGAACGGCCACAAUGGGACUGAGAUACGGACCAGACUCCAACGGGAGGCAGCAGUGGGGAGUAUUGCACAAUGGGCGGAAGCCUGAUGCAGCAACGCCGCGUGCGGGAUGACGGCCUUCGGGUUGUAAACCGCUGUAGCCUGUGACGAAGCGGGAGUGACGGUAAUGGGUAAAGAAGCACCGGCUAACUACGUG
rnacentral:rRNA from 1 species